GGAGAGAUGCGAGAGCUGGCUGAAUCGGGCAGUCUCGAAAACUGCUGUGCGGGAAACCGUACCGUGGGUUCAAAUCCCACUCUCUCCG
rnacentral:tRNA from 1 species